rnacentral:rRNA from 1 species
AGAGUUUGAUCAUGGCUCAGAUUGAACGCUAGCGGGAUGCCUUACACAUGCAAAUCGAACGGCAACACUGGUUUAUGCCUGGUGGCGAGUGGUGAACGGGUGAGUAAUGUACCGGAACGUACCCAAUAGUGGGGGGAUAACUACGCGAAAGCGUAGCUAAUACCGCAUGGUUCCAAAUUUAAGUUUUAAAAAUGGAAAAAGCAGGGGAUCGUAAGACCUUGUGCUAUCGGAUCGGCCGGUAUCGAAUUAGCUAGUUGGUAGGGUAAAUGCCUACCAAGGCUACAAUUCGUAGCUGGUCUGAGAGGACGAUCAGCCACACUGGGACUGAGACACGGCCCAGACUCCUACGGGAGGCAGCAGUGGGGAAUUUUGGACAAUGGGGGAAACCCUGAUCCAGCAAUCCCGCGUGUGCGAAGAAGGCCUCAGGUCGUAAAGCACUUUUUGUAGGGAAGAAACAGUGCAGGCUAAUAUCCUAGCAAAACUGACGGUACCUGCAGAAUAAGCACCGGCUCACUACGUGCCAGCAGCCGCGGUAAUACGUAGGGUGCAAGCGUUAAUCGGAAUCACUGGGCGUAAAGGGUGCGCAGGCGGUUCGGCAAGAAAAAUGUGAAAGACCAGAGCUUAACUUUGGAAAUGCAUUUUUUACUACCGAGCUAGAGUAUAUUAGGGGGAAGCGGAAUUCUGUAUGUAGCAGUGAAAUGCGUAGAUAUGCAGAGGAACACCGAUAGCGAAAGCAGCUUCCUGGGAUAAAACUGACGCUCAUGCACUAAAGCGUGGGGAGCAAACAGGAUUAGAUACCCUAGUAGUCC